UGGAUAGUGGUGACAGUUACACAACAUUGUGAGUGGGCUACAUGGUGCUGAAUUUCACACAGUGAAAUAUUCUGUUCACAGACCAAAGGAAAACAAUAAACCAACCCACCAAUGCCUCUGAUCUGGCAAGAGCCAGCUCCCAAGGCCCGGGGCCUGCCUCAGUGGGAAGGACAUCUGUAGGGCAUGGGCACCAGAUGUGCCCAGUUUCCUCAAAGAGAAACACCAGUAGAGAAGAAAAAAUGACGCUGGGAGAAGCAGCAUCAGAUCAGGAACUCUACCACGGCUCCACGCCACAGGCUGACUCAGAUACCUGGGGUGGACAGUGCCAGGCGCAGAGAGGCAUGGGGAGGCGGCCCUGCCCGCGAGUCCUUACGGGGAGGGGAGGCCGCAGAGCUGGGCGGCACCAGAGCAGACGGGGUGAACCUAUGGGAGCUUGGAUUUGCUCCUGAGCCGUGGAGGGGCUGAGGCCAGGCCGAUCCAUGGGUACCGAGGGAGCCGGCAGUGCCUGCGUGCUCCUAGGCGCUUGGCCCCAUGGCCGGGUGCUGACACGGCUCCAGAAGAACGCGUUCUCACAGGUUGUGGUGAGCAAGAUGCGCCUGGCUUGGCACUGCCCCCGUCACAGUGGCUGACUCUCAUCAGCCUCACAGGUGACUGCAGAGCACAUCCAGCUCUUCAUAAGGACUUUAAAAACAACCCUAGGGAAAUUUCCCUGCUGUUGGUUUCAGAACCCAAGGCCGUUCCCGCUGGCCGGGGUGCCAAGGAGACCUCUUCCACGCUGACCCAGUGCCCUGCUAUCCCGGCCUUUGUGGCUCACACAGGCUCGCACCUCCUUCAAGUUUCACCAUGACUCAGCCCGAGCUGGGUGAAAGAGGAGGCCGAGUUAGCCGAGCCAUCACCAGACCCAGAAAGUGAAACAUACGUCCCCUGACCCGGAAUUUUCCACACACCAGCCCCUCCAGCAUGACUCAGCCCAGCCAAGCUCUGGGGGAAGUCCCCCGGCCCACUGGCCCACUGUGGCAGCAGGAGGAGGGACAGCAGGGACUGGCCUUAUCGCUGAGCAGGACUUUUCCACUGUGGCCCUCGAGCCUGCCGCCUGCCCAAGACGGACUUCCUGUGAAGCCUGGGGCCCCGGCCUACAGCCUGCUACGCUCCUGCGCUGUGGGCCACAGGCUCAUCUGUCACUCUCACUACAGCCCAGGAAGUAGGAGGGGCAGGGGCAGGUUUUACAGAUGGGCACGCACAGGGCUGAUCCCUGGGGUCACGACCAGAACCCAGGUCCUGCUUCAUGGCUCAUCCCACCCGCCCCCAGCAACUGCACCCACACCCACAGAGUGGUGCCUGGAACUGCCCUUUCCACCCGGGAGGAGGAGAUUUCGUCUGAGCAGAGGAGUGCACUUCUCAAACAUUUCCACUCUGGUGCCUGUGACAUGGCACGGGGAUCCCUGUAUGACCUGUCCUUUCCUGAGGGUGGGGCAGGAACUCUGAGUAAUUCUGCAACCUGGAGUCUCCCAGACAAAGCCUGUGACCUUUGAAGAUGGGACCAUGAAUAGCAGGGCCAGCGAAGCCCAGGGAAGGCCGCUAGCCCCUCCCCGAGGGGCUCCAAGAACACCCAAGUGAAGGCUUGCCCACACGGAGCUGUCUAGGGGUCCCCAGCACACAAGACAAGUCCUCCUGCCCAGGCUCCCUCCCAGUAUGAGCCCCUCCCCACACGGUACCCGGCCCCUCCCACGGGGUGCAGUUGCUGCUGGGGCUCAGAGAGGGCAAGAAAACCCAAAGCAGUCCUGCCUGGACAGAAGCCAGUGCCUCCCCUCAGUCCUAGGCCGGUAAGAGGGGCAGGGAGGUCCCCUCUGUCCCAGCAUGGAAGUUUGUCUGGAGCUCUUUUCUGGGGCAGAAGGAAACAUCCCAGGCGCAGUCUGGGAACUGACCCCACCAACUGGCUCUGAGAUGGCACCAGGCGCUCACGAGUGUCACAUGUGCGUGCACACACUCACACACGCACACUCCUCACACCCUGAGGACUACAAGCGAGCUGUCCUCUGAGGGGAUGCCCGCUGUGCCAGGCUACGUGGCAGGGAGCUGCUCUCUCUGAGCUUCCCCCCCCCCCUCCCCCCGGUGCAUCACUCGUAAAGAUCGCAGAAGUCUGCACCGAGGGCAGUGCUCAGUAAAGAUACAAUGGAGCCAGCACGGAGGCACACAUCCACAAUCCCACCACGAGGGAGGCUGAGGUAGGAGGAGGGUGAGUUCGAGGCCAGCCGGGGCCACUUAGUGAGACCCUGACUCAAAAAAGAAAGAGUGGGAGCCCAAGGACGUGGCUCAGGGAAGAGCAUUUGCUCGGCUCUGCACAGCCCUAGGCUCAGGGUCAAAUAGACAAGAAAAGGGGCUGCGCUGCGCACUUGCACAGCAGCCACACAGGAAAAGGGAAGGGAAACGCUCAGCACUAAUCUUAAUGGUACCUUUCAUUUAAACCCGGUGCAGGCAAAAUACUGCCAUUUUGCCAUGUAGUCAAUAUAAAGUUUCCGCUGUUUACACGGCAGGGGACUGAACUGAGGACUCUGCACUGAGCUACAUCUCCAGCUCUCUAAAAAAAAUUUUUUUUGGAGACACGAUCUUGCUCAGUUGCUGAAUUAUCCAGGUCGGGCUGAAACCUGGGAUCCUCCCACCUCAGCUUUGGCCUCAGCCGGCUGCGGUUACUGGCGAGAGUCUACCUUCCCUUUAGUCCAAGUCCCCUAACCUGACGUGCGCUUUGCACUUAGCUCGUGUCCGUGUGGACCCUGAGUGUUACCGGGACGCCUCACGUGGACUUGGAUUUCACAGGCAGCAGAGACAUUCACUCAUCCGAGCGUUCCCCACACACUUCAGUGGUUUUACUGGUUGGGCAGAGCAAGUGCCUGCUUUCAGUUUUGGCUUUCAGUUAAACUGGAAGAGAAUAAACCGCUGUGUGCACAUUUCCAGAGCCCCGUGGCCAUUGCCACGGCUGGCAGCUGCAAGAACGGGACAGACACAGAGCCACGGGCUGGGUUCCAAAGGCCCUGUUACCGGCCCCCGCCUACAGGCAGCCCACCGAGGUUGACAGCCAUGAGGCCUCGGGACAAGCAAGGCGCCAUGGUCAGACAAGCCUCGAGAUCAGCACCGACCUGCAGCAUGGAAGACCUGGCCUGAUGCGCUGGCCUGCUGGUGGGAGCCCAGGCAGCCCGAGUGCGCUCUAGUGUUCUGGGAGACCAAAGGUCAGCAGGUCCAGGUUUGAAAACGGCUCUUCCCUUCCUCUUCUCCUCCCUGCUCCCCGACUCCUCGUCCUCCUUCCCUGGGAAUGGAGCCCAGGCCCUCACUGGCCAGGUAAGCGCCCUGCCACCGAGCUGCACCCCAGCCCACAUGAUCCCCUUCUAUUUCUACUGCGGAACCCACCAUCGUGCAGCUCCUGUCACACGCAUGCACACAUGCAUGCACACACACACACACACGCAAGCAUGCCCAGACAGUCACACACCCACCGCACCAGGAUGCUGUGUGGCUUCGAGCUGCCCUCCCCAGCCUCAUCUGUUGCCUAGGAAACCAGAAGAAAGCCAGCAGGACUCCCUGUCCAGGCCUGGGGAAGUGGGGAGGGCACCUUGAGAAGCACAGUCAGCCCCCACUUCCCUUCCACACUGCCCCUGUCCUGGGACAAUGGCCUAGAGGGGCCCUGAACCAAAGUCCCCCCGCAGCUUCCACCUGCUCAGACCAUGUCCUGACAGACAUCCCAAGCCCUACCUACUGUGGGCCUUGUGACAGGCCACUUUGUGGCUCCUGGUCACUCCUAACGUACACCAUCAAGGCUUAGCCGUUUCAUGUCACCAGGGCCCUUGAUGGUUCAGUAUUGUCCACUGGUGUCCACAGCAUCAGGAAAAACCUUGCCUGGCUCCCCAGUGAGCAGCACCAGGAUUGAGGCGGAGCCCCAGAAACGUGAGAGCGAAGCCCUGGGGCCCUGACUGUUAAGACACGUGGCAGUCACCUCACGUGCACCGCAGAGGAAGGCAGGAGGAAACACUGACACCCUGCCCUUGGCUGGCUCCUUGCAUGUGAAGGUGCUUUGAAAAGGAGUUACCUAACGUGGGUGUGCAGAGGCAUCAACAGAGCUUAGAGCCCGCUCUGGUCACGAAAGGCUGCGUCCCUCAGACCUCAACCUUGACGUGGCCUUCCCAGCAGCCGGAGGGCCAGGAAGUGGUUGUCAUAACGUCACCAGGAGCUAGCUGCUCGAGCUGAGGCCCACCCAGGAAACGGAUCUCCAAGUGCCCCCAGGACAGAAACUUCCUCCAUUCCCGGCCUGGUAAUUUUCCAGUUGAAGUGUUCCUCUUGAGGGGCAGGCAGGACAUUCCACCACUGACACAGUUCAGCCAGAGCUGAUUCUUGUGUCCAAUCAGAAGUCAACUGCCCAGAGUAGGAGCUGGUGAGAAGUCAGUGCUGCCACCAUGGUGGGGCCCCAAGGGAGGCCGAGCUUUAGAGACCCAGUGGAGGAGGCUGUGGGGCUGGCAGGCGGGGGUGGGGCUGCUCCUGCCCCCAUCUUGCAGGUGCAUCCGGCCACAUGUGAGCGGCACCUGGAGUAGGGAAGCUUCCGAGGAAGACUCCAGGAAGCUGCAGCUCAGAGCUCUGGACUGAAGGUGGGGGGCUGAAAGGGGAACUGGGCCGCACUCAGAGGGGCCACCAGAAGCCAGGGGACAUUCGGGGGAACCGAAGGGACUGAGGAGGAGAGGACCUGGGCUCGGGUGUCUGGUGUCCGGCAUGCAGUCCACCCUGGCCUGGCCGCCUCAGCCUGGCACUCACUGCGUCUUCCGGCAGAGCACAGCCCAGCUCUGCUGUCACAGCGCUCACUCUGGGCCGCGUCUCGGAUGCACUGAGGCAGAGGCGGCCAGAAGCCCCUCUCACCCUCCCCACUUCUCACUGGCUUCUGGACAGCUCUGUGUUUGGAUAUUUUUAAGGGGAGCUCUUUAUUGUUAUUCAAAUGUGUCACUCUCAGAAAAGGGGAAAUGACCUUCCAACCACACUCCUGCCAGCUUCCCCCAGAAGAGCAGAUGAUGCCAGAACUUGGCUCAUUAGAGGGCAGAGCUGGUCCUCUGGUCUGGACAAGACGUGGAGCUUGCCCCACAGGAUCAAGGCAGGACAAGCCUGUGGAGAGCUGAGCAGACUGUCGCCUGCAGCCCAGCUGCUGGGUGUCACUGCUCACGGCCGAGUGGGCUAAUAGCAGCAGGCGGGCAGGGACCUGCCCAGCAGUGCCACAGCCAUUAUCCCUGUGACUCAGAUCCGGCCUCGUCUGUGGAGCCAAAAGCCGAGAACCCGUCGUCCUGUGUUGCAUCAGUGACCGCAGGCUGGGGCCACCCCCUCCCGGCCAAGGAACGCAUUCCUUCCUCAGUGAAUGUUGGGACUCCAUGUGUCAAGCACAACAAAAUUCCAAACAUUUUUUUA